GCAGUCGCCGCGGUAAUACCGAGGGUGCAAGCGUUAAUCGGAAUUACUGGGCGUAAAGCGCGCGUAGGUGGUUUGUUAAGUUGGAUGUGAAAUCCCCGGGCUCAACCUGGGAACUGCAUCCAAAACUGGCAAGCUAGAGUAUGGUAGAGGGUGGUGGAAUUUCCUGUGUAGCGGUGAAAUGCGUAGAUAUAGGAAGGAACACCAGUGGCGAAGGCGACCACCUGGACUGAUACUGACACUGAGGUGCGAAAGCGUGGGGAGCAAACAGGAUUAGAUACCCCGGUAGUCCCUGUCUCUUAUAA
rnacentral:rRNA from 1 species